rnacentral:rRNA from 1 species
AUGUGGUUGUGGAACCCUCAAGCUAGAAAUGUGGAACUCUUUCAACUGGAUGCAGUCGGCGAGCCUGAUGACAAAGUAAUCAUUCUUCACAAUCUUUGCAAUCUUGCCAAGCUUCCAUGUGUUAUGAUCAAACACCUCGGUCACAUCUCCAAUGAUCCAUCUGCAUCUUGUCUGAUGAACAACAGCUGGUUGGUUUGGCCUGAAACCAUAGUCCCUCUGCACCGUGAUCGGAUCGGCCUCCCUAAAACUGUUUUUCAGCUUCAUGAUUCUACUCCUGCACAAUGGGAGGAAGUAACAACAAGGUCAAGAUAUGCACCAGCAAAGCAGCAGUUAGAACGAAAAGACAUAAAUAUGAUCUAA